ensembl:lncRNA
UCUCCGUUGUGCUUGCCUUCCUGCUCACCGCGGUUUCCUGGUGGUUGCAGGACCUCAUCGAAGAAAUGGUCAACGCUAGCUUCUGAAUCCCCGUCUCUCUGAAAGGCAAAAAUCAGGAGGACUUAGGGCCCUUGCUGUGGGACACCGGGCCCCGUGGAAUGCCGGCAUCAUGCCAUGUGUAACACAGUAAACUCACACAACUCUCAGGCACAACGGGGUGUCGCCAUGGCUUACCAGAUGCUGCCGGAAGAGGGACAGCGCCUACCACCCCUGCUGACCUUGAUGUCCUGCUGCCAACUUCUGAGGGCCUCCGCCGAGGAGGGUCUGCUGGAGAGCUUCCUCAGCGGGAUCAAGAUGGUGCUGAGCGUCUUCCUGUUCCUGGGGCUCUGUGCCUUCACAGCCUACGUGGCGUUGCUCACCGUGGCCCUCUUGUUCGCCUCCGUCCAGGUCCUCUUCCACACCCUCCUCCCCUCGGCUCUCCUCGUCGUCCAGUUCCUGCUUUCGGCUCUCCUUCUCCUCUUCUGCCUGCAGUGGAUGAGCGAGAUGCUGGCGUGGCAGUUCCGCUUCCGUGACCCGCUUUGGUGAUCUCUUUCGCUUAAAUACAAAGGAAGACCACCGUGGCCAUUGAAGUCGCCUGUACUCCUUCUCCCUGGGAAUAGUUUGAGUGGGCGGUAGUGUGGGAUGUGGGAUGCUGGGGCUAAACACAUCAUCAUCCUCACCAUCACCCUCAUCAUGUGCCGUCAAGUCAAUUCUGACUUAUUUAUAUUGACCCCUUUCCAGGGUUUUUAAAGCAGUGAGUCCUCAGCCGUGGCUUCCUCUUCCCUUCUUCUGGGGUUUAAUCCUGGGACUGUGCAGCUGGCCCAAGGCCACCCAGGCUGGCUCUACUUUGCAGGAGGCACGUUGGGGGGAACUGAAAUCCUAACCUUCUGCAGAUGGGGCCUCCGAUGUCAGAAUUUUAUAUCAUCAUCUUCGUCAUCAUGGGUGCCCCAUUGCUGGAGGCUUUCAAGAAAAAAAAAAGGGAAAGCCCUCUGUCUGGGAUGGUAUGAAGUAUGGGAUGGGAUGAGGUCUCCUUGUGCCCCAUUGCUGGAAGUUUUCAAGAAAAAAAAUGGGAAAGCCCUCUGUCUGGGAUGGUAUGAGGCGCGGGAUGGGAUCAGGUCUCCUGCUUUGGGCCCCAGGGGGUUGGACUAGAAGACCUCCCAAGGUCCCUUCCAAUCCUACGACAAUUCUGUGAUCAUCACCAUGAGGCUCUUGUCUCACAUGGACAAGCAGGACAAAUUCCCGCUUUCUGAUUGGCAGUGGAGAAACAACCAAAGCAGGAACAGAGGUGACGGAAACCGAAACACCUCCAGGCAUGAAUGAGGAGCAGAGCUCCUGCCACAGCCAACCGCCUCUGCUUAGCCCCUUGGAGAUCCAACCCAAUUGAUGAUGUCAGCGUGAGGUCAUGGGGUCACCAG